rnacentral:rRNA from 1 species
CUAAAGCAUCCGUAGCCGGUACUGCAAGUCUUCCGUUAAAUCCACCUGCUUAACAGUUGGGCUGCGGGGGAUACUACAGCGCUAGGAGGCGGGAGAGGCAAGCGGUACUCAAUGGGUAGGGGUAAAAUCCGCUGAUCCAUUGAAGACCACCAGUGGCGAAGGCGGCUUGCCAGAACGCGCUCGACGGUGAGGGAUGAAAGCUGGGGGAGCAAACCGGAUUAGAUACCCGGGUAGUCCCAGCUGUAAACGUUGGGCGCUAGGUGUGGGAUCCCUUCCACGGGUUCCGUGCCGCAGCUAACGCAUUAAGUGCCCCGCCUGGGGAGUACGGCCGCAAGGUGAAAACUCAAAGGAAUUGACGGGGGCCCGCACAAGCGGCGGAGCAUGUGGAUUAAUUCGAUGCAACGCGAAGAACCUUACCUGGGUUUGACAUACACCGGAAAGCGGUGGAGACACGGCCUCCGCAAGGCCGGUGUACAGGUGGUGCAUGGCUGUCGUCAGCUCGUGUCGUGAGAUGUUGGGUUAAGUCCCGCAACGAGCGCAACCCUCGUCCCAUGUUGCCAGCGGGUGAUGCCGGGGACUCAUGGGAGACUGCCGGGGUCAACUCGGAGGAAGGUGGGGACGACGUCAAGUCAUCAUGCCCCUUAUGUCCAGGGCUUCACACAUGCUACAAUGGCCGGUACAGAGGGCUGCUAAGCCGUGAGGUGGAGCGAAUCCCACAAAGCCGGUCUCAGUUCGGAUCGGGGUCUGCAACUCGACCCCGUGAAGUCGGAGUCGCUAGUAAUCGCA